GGCUCCGUGGCUUAAUGGUUACGGCUUCUGCCUCUCAAGCAGAAGGUUCAGGGAUCAAAUCCCGGUCGGUACCU
rnacentral:tRNA from 1 species